UGUAAUCAGUCUAUACUGGACAGAAUUCAGCUGCUGUGAAGCUGGAUCACGAAUGAUUUGUGCGAACAUAGACACAUUUAUGUAGACCGGGAGGUGCAUUCCCUUCACAAACAAAUGCAAAUCACUGCAUCUUCAGUGGCUCAGAUGUUGGGAGUAAAUGACGACCACUAUGUUCAUUAUUACAUCCAGCAACACAACACCUCAAUCGCUCAAUCGGAGAUAUUCUUGUCUAACUUACAUCCCUGUUCCGGCAUCGAAACAAUGAAGGUCGGACUGUUACAGCUGAUCUGAGUGGCUCAGAUGUCGGGAGUAAAUGACGACUGCUAUGAUGAUUAUUACAUCCAACAACAGAACACCUCAAUCGCUCAAUGGGACUUUCUUGUCUUCGCCUGCACCGGAGUAGACACAAUGUCAGGGCUCAGUCAGGGCGGGUCUAAGCUGUUUUACUUCCUGUCUGCCCCUCUCUGGCUUCCUGUGAUGUGUCAGGACUGAUGUACCUCCAGUCAGGCUACUGACCUCUCUGGCUAAACGCCCGUUAAGCAGGUCAAGCAGGCAAGGGUCCCUCGUGGGCCUGGCACUGGCACAGGGCACCAUCCUGUUUCUGUGCAGCUCAUUGUUUUCCCGCUCAUCUGCAGGGUGAGGUCUCACUGACUGCACGCGAGCCAUCCACGCAUCCUGCUUUCAUUGCACGGCAUGAAGAAAAACAGAUUGGGUUUACUGCAGUUUUUAAGGCCUAGAGCUAAUGAAACUAUCUUUAUGCUUAUAUAUUUCAUUUUGCCUGAAGCUUUCAGACCAAAGUCACCCAGAUAAAGACCAUAGUGUACAUUGUUUAAAUAUAAAAUGAUUAAAAGGAAAAGCAGAUAAGUCUGACUACAAAUAACAGAAAACACACACACUCACACACACACACACAGACAGCAUACAAAGAACAGAGAGAGUUACACAAGUUUGGAACAAGCAAAUGUUGAGAGAAAUUUCAUUUGUGGGUGAACUAUGCCUGUAUUCAUUCUAGGGGCGGUGUCGUCGGAUUGGUUGAAUUUUACAGGAUUUCAGGGAGAUGUGUGUCAUGUUCUUUUACUUUCCACCUUAAAACAAAGAUGUCGUAAUGCCAAACCCCCUCAUGAAAGAAGAAAGACGUCAUGUUUACAACUGGGACUAUGAGCACUUACUGUUUUAGGAUCCACUUAAAUGCUGGAUUUUCAAAAGUAUGUGAAAUAUUUAAAGUCUGCGGCACAGAAUCUUUAAAAUAUGUUCAAGAGUUUUA